CGCGUAGGUGGUAGUGUAAGUCUGGGGUGGAAUCCCAGGGCUUAACCUUGGAACUGCCUUGGAAACUGUAUUACUUGAGUCAGUGAGGGGAGGGUAGAAUUCCUGGUGUAGCGGUGAAAUGCGUAGAUAUCAGGAGGAAGGCCUGUGGCGAAGGCGGCCCUCUGGCGCUGGACUGACACUGAGGCGCGAAAGCGUGGGGAGCAAACAGGAUUAGAUACCCUGGUAGUCCACGCCCUAAACGGUGGGCACUAGGUGUAGGGCUCGUAAGGGUUCUGUGCCGAAGGGAAACCAUUAAGUGCCCCGCCUGGGGAGUACGGCCGCAAGGUUGAA
rnacentral:rRNA from 1 species